rnacentral:lncRNA from 1 species
GGGCCCCCGAGCUCCCCGCGGCGCUGCCGCGUCCUGCGGAGCGGAGCCCGGCCGGGGCGAGGGGCGACAAACCCCUGCGCCCCGCCGAGCCCACUCGUGGUGGGUGCCGCGAGGCAGCGGGAGCCCCAGCCUAGCGAGGGGCUUGUAGCAGGCACAGGCAAGGGGUGGAGGUGGUAGCUGUCUGAAGCAGCCAAGAUCUUCAGACGAUAUCGUUAGUUAUCAUCUUACCGUGCCAAAGUUUGCUGGACUCCGUGCAGCACAGAGCAAAAUGACAUAUUCCCUGCCCCAAGGAGUUUACAAUCUAAAGUGGAUCUGACAACACGAGGGUGUGACAGGACACCAUGAGUUUGCAGCAACAGGAUCAUGCUGUUGAGGACUUAACUUACUCCAGGACUACAGAUGAGAAAAAGCGACAGCUCUGCCAGAGGCUUCUUGGGAUGGCAGGAUGGAUCUGACAAUGCAAGGUGUGACAGAAUGCCACAAGGUUGCAGCAACAGAAUCCUGGGAUCCAGUGCCCAGACAAAGCUUCUACACUGCUCAUGCCCAAUCCUGGAAACUAUCGCAGUGCUAUUUCUAUUGGAGACUUCGUGCUCUCUGGAUUCAAAACACCAUGGCUACAAAUAAGAGCAACUGUAAGUUUAUGGAGUUUUCUCCACUAAAGAAACAGAUGACAAAACAAGAUGUACUAACCAACCAACUAGAAGAUGGCUUUUUACAACUUGACUCUCCAGUUGAGUUUGGAAGCAUUCCCAAUGCAAAUAUGAUGGCCAGAGGCCAGAUGCACAGCUAAUCAAGAGAGGUAGAGCUCACAAAUGCAAAAAAAGAAACUAGCGCUGGAGAAUGGAGAUUGAGGGUCCAGUCCCCACCCGCUGAUGUCAUUGGCAAAUGUCCCAUUGAUGUUGGAGAGAGUACAGCCAGACACCAUCCAGCACACUUUGUAUCAUAUUUAACUUUUCCAACUGAAUGAGUAACAGUGAAUGGCUUGAGUCCCUGGUUUAGUCAGUUCUGAAGUAAUGUGCAAAAUUAGCCUGCUCCUCAUGCCUGUCCAUACGUAAUUAAAGAACAGCUACAUGAAAUUCAGUUUCAAUGAACAACUCUUUGGGGAUUGAAUCUACACAACCUACCUGGCUAAAUGGAUGAAUCUAGCUAUACAUCAUGACAGAAACCCUCGACUGCAGAUCUUUACAGAACUUCCUGCCAUUUAUAUCAGUGUGAGGUACAUACGUAUUACUGCGCUAAAGUACUUUGAAACUCUUUCAAAUCUUCCACUUGAACCAACAACUAAAGUUGCUCAUUGCCUGAAAGAGAACAGGGCCUUAAGUUUUCAAUUUUUAAAGAUACUGACCACAAGAAGACCUAGUUUGAAGUUUCUUUUUCAUAUUGUUUUCAUCUUCUCUGCUUGCCAUCUCUCACUUAAAUGAUAUUUUUGGCAAAUAACCAUUCACUCAAGAAACUUCCCAAAGCUGUUAAUAGAAAAUAUACUUACAACUAUCAGAGACCUCAAAUGCUUUGUUUUUCACCUUCCAUGAUAUUUCAAACUGAUCUUCAAUUAUAAAAUGAGACCAGCACCAAAAUAAAAUGUUUAUUAUGUUUCUAAGCCA